rnacentral:rRNA from 1 species
AUGGGGAAGACAUACUUGAUCCUGCGAAUUCAGUUCGGAGAACCAGGACAUGGUUGGCAACCCCCGGAUUCUGCUUGGGGUAAAGAUCAACACCGACGCCUCUGUUCGGCGAGACGAAGGCGUUGGGGUGGCAGAGGAGUUGCAAGGUCACUGAGUUCCUUCCAGGGGGCUUGGAGCAAACCAUAUCUAGGCGUAACAGAUCCUCUCAUCGCGGAGGCGAUGGCAGCAAAAGAUGGUGUCAUCUUCGCCAAGUUGAGGGGCUUUUCGAGAGUCGUCCUCGAGACGGAUUGCCAGGAGGUUGUAAACCUCUGGACCAAUCGCCAUGAUUCAUCCUCAGUCGUGGCACCGAUCAUAGUAGAGAUUGGAGAGCUAGCUAGUAGUUUUACUUCUUUUGUAAUCCAACAUGUAUCAAGGUUAGCGAACGGUCCGGCUCAUAUCUGUGCCAAGCAUGCUUGCACGAUUGACGUGACCGAGAGUUGGCUAGACAGUACUCCUAGCUUCUUGAUCAGCAGCCUUUUGGCUGACUGCAUAGAGAAUGCUUUUACUUAA